UACGGAGGGGGCAAGCGUUGUCCGGAAUUAUUGGGCGUAAAGCGCGCGCAGGCGGUUUGGAAAGUCUGGUGUUUAAGGCUGAGGCUCAACCUCAGUUCGCACUGGAAACUGUCAGACUUGAGUGCAGAAGAGGAAAGUGGAAUUCCUGGUGUAGCGGUGAAAUGCGCAGAUAUCAGGAGGAACACCAAUUGCGAAGGCAGCUCGCUGGGACGUUACUGACGCUGAGACGCGAAAGCGUGGGGAGCAAACAGG
rnacentral:rRNA from 1 species